rnacentral:tRNA from 1 species
UGAGAUUCCAUUUUAAGGGGGAGUCUUAUGGAAAGUCUAUUUCUAGGUAAUGAUGAAAAAUGUGCUUAGGAAAUGUAAGCUUAGGUAUUUGGAUACACAUAGAUUUUGGUUAACAAUGGAUCUGAGUGCUCAUGCGUGGUCAAUUGUGGUUCCUUUUUCUAGCUUGCUCUGCCUGCCGCAAAAAUUCAUGAUGAAUAGCACAUUUAGUUUGUUGCUUUUCUUUGAUCUUUAUAUGCCAGGUUUCAUGUCACUUGUUGCAUUCUGUGAUCUCUACAACCAUUUUGCUCUGCUGGGUAACAAUUAUGUUUCUAAAUUAUUUUAAUUUUAUCAGUUAGGACUCUAGAGUAGAGACUUGUAGUUAUUCAGUUGACUUUAUGGUGGCCAAAUUUGAAACAGAAUAAGGAAAAGCUAAACCUAUGUGGUUUGACUACAGGGGAAAAAUUUUAACCUCAGUAUUUGGAAAUCCAAAACAAGAUGGGGGCAUUCCGAGAAUCGAACUCGGGACCUCUCGCACCCAAAGCGAGAAUCAUGCCACUAGACCAAAUGCCCAUUU